rnacentral:rRNA from 1 species
UACGUAGGCAGCAAGCGUUGUUCGGAAUUACUGGGCGUAAAGAGUGUGUAGGCGGUGCUCUAAGUCUGUUGUGAAAUCUCCCGGCUUAACUGGGGAGGGUGCGGCGGGAGACUGGAGUGCUAGAGUGUGGGAGAGGUAAGCGGAAUUCCUGGUGUAGCGGUGAAAUGCGUAGAUAUCAGGAGGAACACCUGUGGUGUAGACAGCUUACUGGACCACGACUGACGCUGAGACACGAAAGCGUGGGUAGCAAACAGG